GUUUGUAUUGUAGGACCCCCGAUAUAGGGACCCCCACUCUAGUCCAGGGACAGGGUGCACCCACAAACACACAAGAAUCC
rnacentral:pre_miRNA from 7 species